rnacentral:rRNA from 1 species
UACGGGGGGGGCAAGCGUUGUUCGGAAUUACUGGGCGUAAAGGGCGCGUAGGCGGCCAUCUAAGUCAGACGUGAAAUCCCUCGGCUCAACCGAGGAACUGCGUCUGAUACUGGAAGGCUUGAAUCCGGGAGAGGGAUGUGGACUUCCAGGUGUAGCGGUGAAAUGCGUAGAUAUCUGGAGGAACACCGGUGGCGAAGGCGGCAUCCUGGACCGGUAUUGACGCUGAGGCGCGAAAGCGUGGGGAGCGAACAGG